rnacentral:rRNA from 1 species
AACGAACGCUGGCGGCAUGCCUAACACAUGCAAGUCGAACGAGAUCUUCGGGUCUAGUGGCGCACGGGUGCGUAACGCGUGGGAAUCUGCCCUUUGGUUCGGAAUAACAGUUGGAAACGACUGCUAAUACCGGAUGAUGACGAAAGUCCAAAGAUUUAUCGCCAGAGGAUGAGCCCGCGUAGGAUUAGAUAGUUGGUGUGGUAAAGGCGCCACAAGGCGACGAUCCUUAGUUGGUCUGAGAGGAUGAUCAGCCACACUGGGACUGAGACACGGCCCAGACUCCUACGGGAGGCAGCAGUGGGGAAUAUUGGACAAUGGGCGAAAGCCUGAUCCAGCAAUGCCGCGUGAGUGAUGAAGGCCUUAGGGUUGUAAAGCUCUUUUACCCGGGAUGAUAAUGACAGUACCGGGAGAAUAAGCUCCGGCUAACUCCGUGCCAGCCGCCGCCGUAA